AUUUUUUUCACUAUUUAAGCGGCCAAUUAGCAAAUGCCACAAAAUUUUCUGAUUAAUUUUUACACCUUUCACCACACAUGUAAGAUUUACAUAAAAGCAAAUCAGUUUUCGCAUCAGCUUUCAGUCACCAUUGAAGAUUCAACGUUGAGACAAGCAAAAUGGAUAUCUCCAAGUUCUUUCUACCUUUUUUGGUUCUUAUACUCAUUGGUUUAGUAACGGCUUUAAAAGAUCCUGCUUUGCAAAUGCCGGAGAAUUUGCGCUAUCCUGCAAGACCCCAGCAAUCACCGCCAGAGGCAACUUCAACGGCACGAUUUCAUUAUCAUCAUACUCCGCGAACAACUACGACUCCGCCACCAAGCCACUAUCAUCCCCCGAUUCAUCACUGAAAAUGAAAUCUUGAAAUCACCAUACAUAUUUGCAAUUUGAAAUAAGAUGAACGAAAUUUUGGAAUAUAUUACAAAAUAAAUACAACAUGCAAUUUUAUUCAAAGCGGCCAAAUUUUAAGGCGACUUUUUUUAAGGCUUUGUCAAAAUUCCAUGUCCAUAGGAAAUUAUGUCAAAAUUUUAUUUCUGUAGGAAAUUUUGUAAAAUUUUAAUUUCUAUAGAACACUAGCUGACACGGGCCCGCUCUUUUUUAUUUUAUUUAUUUUCGACAAUUAAAAGUCUUUUAGAGAAAUACCAUGGUAACUUGACUAACAGUUUAACAAUAAAAGUGCCUUUAUCUGAA